AGAAGGAGGAGUAAGAAGAGGAGGAGGAGGAAGAAGAGGAGGAGGAGGAAGAGGAGGGGAAGGAGGAGAAGGAGGAGGAGAAGGAGGAGGAAGAAGAGGAGGAGGAGAGGAAGAGGAGGAGGAGGAAGAGGAGGAACAUUGAGGUGAUGUAAAGAUUGUCAAAAGAUAAAAGAAGCCAAGGUAAUGGAGUAAUAUUCUUUGCUGCAGUUCUCCGAAUGGUCUGCUGUUGAUCAAUACACACACACACACACACACACACA